GACGAACGCUGGCGGCGUGCUUAACACAUGCAAGUCGAACGAAGUGGCGAACGGGUGAGUAACGCGUAAUCAACCUGCCCUUCAGAGGGGGAGAACAGUUGGAAACGUCUGCUAAUACCGCAUACUGAAGGAGGGGAUUGGGUCUGAUUUGCUAGUUGGAGGGGUAACGGCCCACCAAGGCGAUGAUCGGUAGCCGGUCUGAGGGGAUGAACCGCCACAUUGGGACUGAGACACGGGCCAGGCUCCUACGGGGGGCAGCAGUGGGGAAUCUUCCGCAAUGGACGAAAGUCUGACGGAGCAACGCCGCGGGAGUGAUGACGGCCUUCGGGUUGUAAAGCUCUGUUAGUCGGGACGCGGUACCGGAAUAGAAAGCCACGGCUAACUACGUGCCAGCCGCCGCGGUAAUAC
rnacentral:rRNA from 1 species